GACCAACCAUCUGAAGAGCCACCAUGGGACCCCCGAGUUGAUUCAUUGCUCCAUGAGGGGACUGAGGACCUCUCUUCCGGAACUGAAAAGCUAUUUGAUGACUUCAAUUCUGGGACUUUGGCAUCAGGAACUUGCCCCAUUAACUGAUGCGCAGAAAAACUCUCGGGCCAACUUGGCGUGGUUGAGCUAGCAGGAUGUGGAUGACUUUGGGAUGAUGCUGGAGAUGUUAUGGAUGAAGUUGAAGGCAAUGAGACAGAUAAUUUUGCGGUAGAUGGAUGUGAAACUGUUUGGGAUUCCAUUGACUCCUUCACCUGUUCCAAACUUGUGUCCAUAGAGAUAAUCCUUGACAUGGAUUGAUCUGAAGCAGGAGUCCUCACAUGUGCAGUAGUAGCUUCAGAUGUUGGAGACUUCUGCCAUGCACGCCUCCUAAAACUAUCUAAGGGGCUUCCAUCCUCUGAUGCAUAUGCUGAUUCAUAUUUAAUAUCUGGUCCAUCAUUCCUACUAUUUGCAUCUGAAAACCAAGUUAUGGAAGUCUCUUCUCCAGCUACUCGGCCUCUAUUAUCCCACCUAAAGCUCCAUGUUGGUGAAUAACGAAUAUUCCUAUGCAAGAUGUCACUACUUGGUCCAUUUACAAUAUUUUUAUCUCUAGCAGCAACACAACAGGCACCCCCCAUGCUAAAACACACUGUGCUGUGAAGUUCUUAAAGAAAUCCCAAAAUUUUCACUCACGUGUU
rnacentral:misc_RNA from 1 species